UACCUUUUAUCUCCUCAAUUAAAACAUUUUCUUCUCUUUUUCUCUAUUAUUUAUUUUUUUUAAAUCCCCAAAAAAUCUUCUUGAAAGCCAAUCGCUUCCAGUAAUGCUCUCAUCUUGCUAAUCUUUCCUACUUUCCUUCUUUUUUGUCUCGUCUUUUUCCCAGGCUUCGUCAACCUUCCAUUUUUUUUGCGUCCUUUCUCUCUUUCCUUUCUUCUUUUCCUUUUCCUUUCUUCUUUCUUUUCUCUUUUUCCUUUCGUUUUUUUUCUCUUUUCUCUUUUUUCCUUUCUCUCAGCCAGUCUUCUCAUCUCGCGGUUCCCGGCAAAGACUUCCGAUCGUCGUUGCGGUGAUUCUCGGCGCCAGAUUUGGAUGGCAUGCAGCGGUAUUUCGUCCGACGGUUCGCUGAAUAGCGUUUCUCCUUUCUCACGUCGUUUUCAUUUUUUUUUGACGAAAUCCCUAAUGGGUUUCUUUUUUCCAUUGACAGCCGCCAUCCAGCUUCAUCCCUCUAGCCAUUUCCGGUGACUCUGCGGCUUCCCUUGGCGAUUUUCCGGCGAACUGCGACUCCGCUUGGCAAUUGUUGUCGGAUCUACAACUUCUUUUGGCGAUUUUCCAGCAAACCGCAGCUGCUCUUGGUGAUUUUUCGGUGAGCCACAAACCUUUGGUGUUUUUCGGUGGUUCUUGAUUAUCUGGGGUGAUUUUCAGCAGUGUGGGUGAGUUUCUUCUACUGUUUUUGUUAUAUAUAUAUAUUAUUUGUAUAAGUAUAUAUAGGUAUUUAUAUAUGUUUACAUGCAUGUGUAUACAUGUGGGUAUUUAUUUAUCUAUGUGUGUACUCUUACUCAUUGAUCUUGGUGAAUGUAGCUUUAUCAUUCCAUGUUUACAAAUUCUGAUUUGUGGAAUUGGUGAGUUUGAUGUGCCCUUUUUUCCAUCUUUCCUUUUUUCUUGGUAUAUACAUUGUUACACUAUGUUGCAUAUUCUAAAAAAAAAAAUUCUUCAUUCUUUAUUUUUCAUGUUUUUGGUUGUGGUUAAUGGUUGAUAAAUGGUGUGGAUGUGUAUUUGACAGAAAGAUGUGGAUUGAAGGGGACUCAUGUGGUCAGAAGUAGUAGUGUAAAUAGCCUUCAUACUGAAUCUCCUUCCCAUAUUUCCAUUAGUGAAGACGAAAAAUCUUCUCCCAAUGUCUCUAACAAUGGUAAUCUAUAUCCUUGGUCUCCUCCCACUAGGGGUGUCUACCGCAAUAGCCCACGCUUUUCCGGUACACCAUCAACCCACCAAUCUCAGAAAAAGGCUAAGCCAUCUACCCAUGUGACCCGAGUUCAUUCCUCAUAUCGAGUUCCUAGAUCUCCCUCUGCUCUUAUUUCAAAAUCUAGUUAUCUCCAUUCGCUAGAAGCUAAGAGGGCUACUUUGGGUUACUUAGAACGAAUUAAGGGCAGGCAUAACAUUCCUUCCUAUGUCCAGCUUAGGGUACCCUGUGUAGAUGAGCAACUAAAAUGCCCUUCAACUGAUGAGAUUGCCCUUCACAUUGACCUCUUUGAUCUAAGACUCCGCUGCCUCUCUAACCUUCUUUUAUCAGGAUGUUUAGUACUUGAGGAUAGCUCUUAAGCAGCUAUCUCUUCUAGGGUGGAGGACACUCACAGAUUUGCAAGUAUUAUAGUCGGAAGUAUUGGGGCAUGCUAUUUAUAUUCGAUAUUUGAGGGGACUUUACCAAUUUAAGAAGCCCAAAGGUCAUGUUGUUGCUUAUUUCUCUACCUCGGGUGUCCAUGGCAAUCUUAUUAGAGGGGACCCUGUCUUGAAGAAGGGUUAUAAAUAAGGUAGGUUUGUUGCUGAUGGUAAGUGGUGGGAGGAUACCCCAGAUGAUAAAGACAGUAAGUGUUCCCCUCGUAGCUGAUCAUUAUUUAUUUUUAUCCUAGUCCACUUGCAUAAAUGUUUUGCUAACCUUGGGUUCCCCAUGGCUUUAUAGAUGUCACGUGGGUGAAAAGGUCAUGCCCUAUUCAGGAGGUGGGGAGAGAGGUGAGUAACUUUAUGGAGAGGUUCCGAGCUGUAUAGAGGGGUAGUGAUGUGUUGCAGGAGAGUAGGUUGGAGAGAGCGGGGCUAAUUGACAAAGGUUUUUCAUCUCUUUCUAGUGGCGAGUCAUGUAUGACUUUUAGGUGUUAAGGGGGUACCCUAUUAUUAUCCAUGUGACGAAGGUGCCCCACGAUCACCAUGUUUUACAUUUAGCUUUGCUAUUUUCUAUUUCCCUUUGCUUUGUGUUCGUUUUCUCGUGUGUUAGGUGCAGAUAUAGAAUCAACGGAUGACGCUUUUGAUGCUUUCUUCUAAGGGAUGGUGGGUGUAUCUUUCGGUACUCAGGAUUUUGCAUUACCACAAAAGAAUACUCGCCUCUUCAUGGCCCUAGAGUAAAGGUGAAAUCGCAAGGUACCUCUCAGACUGGAUCGUUCCCAAAAGAGAAAAUUUGGGUUAGUUUCUUUAUUUCCUGAUGAUCUUCAUGAGGGUGAACUAGAUCCGAUGUCCAACUAGAAGUUCUCAUAUCUAGCCCAUUGUUUUUAUUAUUCUGCAGAGAACGUUACCCCUAAGAUUGCCGCGGAGACAGAUAUGUUUAGUUUGAGUGAGCGUUAUGGCCGAACACUUAAGGCUACUCAAGAAGUAAGUUCUUCUAGGUUACCUCGAGUAUACUUUUUCUCAUUCAUUAUUUAUUUAUUUAUAUAGUUAUACACACACACACACACACACACAUAUAUAUAACACUCUUCAACAACUGUAAGGGGCCUUUCUUCUGAGUCAUUAUCUUCCAGACUUUUAUUCAUUUGUCGCUACCCAGUCAAAGGUUGAAAAUUUGAUGGGUGAGCUCUAAAGUCAACAAUCUCUUAAGGAAAAGCUUGUUUAGGAAGUCAAGGCAAUGAAUGAGCGCCUUGAUGAUCUGUCUGGAGAGAAAGCUCGGGUAAAAAGAGACUGUGACGAGCUAAGGGCCAAAUACGGGAUCAGUUGUCUCAGUAAAAAACGAUGGCAGAUAAGGCAUUUUCCCUUAUCAUGACGAAGGUAUAGAGCAUGAAUCCAGAAGUGUUGGUACCCUGGGUCAAGAGAUACGUUAACAAGGCAAUUGAAGUGUAACAUAUGUAUAAAUUUAAAAUAAGAAUGAGGCGGUGAUUAAGGAUUUUGGCGGUUGAGGAAUUUUAAAAUAAAAGAAGCUGGAAAAACAAAGCAAAAACAGACACAUGCACGUGCGAGAGAAGCUGCCAAACCGACCCAACUACAAACCCGAAAACCCGUCCCAACCCGCGAAUGUAACCCGGCCAUAUCUCGCAAUUUCGGCCACCACUCCGGCCAAGCAAGGUAUCAAUCGAAAGCUUGUGAGACGCUGGUCAUACUUUAACUGUCAUCUUCGUCGGAAAUCGACUGGAACGCCGCCGUUUAAGGCUUGAAAAACCACAGCCAAAACCCAUCACUACCGCCAUUGAUCUUACCGAAAUUUGACCACGCCACCACCUCAGUUUUGUUCCCCACGACUCCCUCUUCCAUUUCCGACCAUCCACUGCCGUCGGGGACAUCGUUUUGCCGUUGAUCGGCCGUUGAAGGACUUACGGCUUUGGGAGCUCGAUCCGAAGCCAUCGCCACGCGUAGGAGGUCAUUACCGCCACCAUUGGACUCAAUGUGGCCAUAACUUUCAGACUUGAGCUUUCUAGCCAGCGUUGACCAAAUUCUGGUGACUGUUGACCACCAAGGGCAUUUAGGUAAUUUCACAGUAUGAGGGCAAUUUUGUAAUUUCUAAGCCUAUGGAUAUUUUAAUAAUUCCUAGAAUUGAAGAUUGGGUGUAAUUACGAUUCUGAGGGUAAUUCGGUGAUUUGCGAUUUCAGAGUAUUUUAAUGAUUUACGGACUUGAGGGCAUUUUAGCAAUUUUAUCGACACGGGAGUUGUAAAUUAUGGAUAGAUGUUCGUUUCGAGUUUAUUGCAUAAAUUUAGUUGUAAUUUCGAUUUACGGAAAAUAAUUAUGUCAUUUCCUUGAUUUAGGAGGAUCCGCGAGCGAGAACUGGUCCGCAGACGUAGACGAUAACUGAGUGUGAACACCGUCACUGUGAGUGGAAUAUACAAAACCUAUUUUCAUAGUUAAUUAUGAUAGUAAAGCAUGUUUGCGAAAUAAGUAUUUUAAAUGUUCUGAUUUAAUGAUUCCCUCAAAAUGAAUUUUAUUAACGCAUUGAUAUUUUAUUAAAAUGUUUGGUUAAUGAUUUUGCGUAUCGACUUUGAAUAAGCAUGUUAGUAUUUUAAAGAUAAGAAAAGUGGAUUCAAAUGAGGUAUGAUUUAAAGUAUGGUUAAAAGGUAUGUGAAUAUGAGUAUAAUGAUUAUUUUUUAAAUCAUUAGACAAUACCAUUCCCCUCCAGAUACAGUGAUACAGAUGUGAUGAGAUAGAGGCCUUUGGGGCCCGUCUGAACACACAUAGAGGCUUUGGGCCAUGUGUUUGGGCGCUUUUUCUUUUGGGGGCAUAUGCACGCGGUAUGAUGAUUACAGAGAUACAGAUAUGAGAUACAGAAAGAUAUUGAGAUGCAGAUGAUAUAGAUGAGAUACAGGCCUUUGGGGCCCGUUUGAGUACACAGAGGCUUUGGGCCGUGUGCUUGGGCGUUUUUGUCUUUUGGGGACUAGAUUAUGCAUGCACAGAUAUGAUGAGAUAUGAGAUGGUAUUUCCUUGUCUAUCCGUGUAACUCCGGGGCAUGACGGUAUCCAUAUAGUACGUCAUUGCCCGUCCGUUGAGGUCCGGAUACGAUGAGAUUAUUUCCAUGGGUACUUGUUUGGUGAUGAUUUUCAAAUUUGUGUAUUAUAUAUGAUAUUGUGAUAUGAUUUCCAUGGUUAGUAAUCUGAUUUAAAUGUUAAAUGAUUUAUUAAUGGUUUCUCGCAUAUGGUUUGAUGAAAUCAUGUUUGGAAAUGAUAUGAUUAUUUCUUUUUAAAUAAGAAUUAAUUUUCAAAAACUACUAUUCACUCACUGAUCUCACUGAGUUUUAAACUCACCCCGUUUUUAUUUUAUUUUUCCCUACACCAGGAGGUUGUAGGUACACCAGACCGACCCAGCGACUGUAAAUAUAUUUUGAGUCUUGGCCACGUGAUAGUGUUAGAAGAUAUAGAUGAUUUUGUUAGGACAUUUAAGUUAUCUUGUCCUUUUGGGAUUGUAUAAUUUUGUUAUAUUAUUCUUUUGGGAUUAAGAAUAAACUGAGAUAUUAAUAUUAGUUAUAAUAUUAUUUUUUGAGACUUUA
rnacentral:lncRNA from 1 species